rnacentral:rRNA from 1 species
AGUGAACGCUGGCGGUAGGCCUAACACAUGCAAGUCGAACGGCAGCACAGUAAGAGCUUGCUCUUACGGGUGGCGAGUGGCGGACGGGUGAGGAAUACAUCGGAAUCUACUUUUUCGUGGGGGAUAACGUAGGGAAACUUACGCUAAUACCGCAUACGACCUACGGGUGAAAGCAGGGGAUCUUCGGACCUUGCGCGAUUGAAUGAGCCGAUGUCGGAUUAGCUAGUUGGCGGGGUAAAGGCCCACCAAGGCGACGAUCCGUAGCUGGUCUGAGAGGAUGAUCAGCCACACUGGAACUGAGACACGGUCCAGACUCCUACGGGAGGCAGCAGUGGGGAAUAUUGGAAAAUGGGCGCAAGCCUGCUCCAGCCAUACCGCGUGGGUGAAGAAGGCCUUCGGGUGGUAAAGCCCUUUUGUUGGGAAAGAAAAGCAGCAGGUUAAUACCCCGCUGUUCUGACGGUACCGAAAGAAUAAGCACCGGCUAACUUCGU